rnacentral:lncRNA from 1 species
CAUUAAAAAAAAUGACAACCUUUAUGUCCACGAUCGGACACCGUAUAUCAGCGUUUUGAUUGGUUCCGCCAUGUUUGGGUCCGCUUCCGGUAAAGUUCCGUGCACAUUGCCAGGUAACAGGCGGAGAAGCAAGAAAUAUGAGCUAAAGGAUCAGCUGAUUACGAUUAAAGUUAUAUGUCGUCUAUAACUGGCUAAUGGCAUUUAUACUCGUUGCUAUAGAAAAAGAAAAAGAAGUGUACACAGUGGAAGUGUGUUAAAAGAAAACACAAAAAUGCCUAAAUAUAUUGCAAAAAAUUGUAAGAGUGCAUCGACCAAGGGAAUUAAAAUGUGUUCUUUUCCACAAGAAAGGGAAAUUCAAAUGUUGUGGAUAAGAAAUAUAGGUCGAAGUAACUGGCAGCCGAGAAAAGAUUCACGUUUGUGUGAGUUUCAUUUUGCUGAUGAUCAGUGAGAAACAAUGAGAGUCGAUGGCAAAAAAAAGUUAAAAUGGAAAGCUGUACUAACACUAUUUGGGGAAGAUACUCAAAUUCGAAUAGAUGUAAUAAAAAAAAAUGUCAGCAAGAACUAUCUAUCGAGGAAAAGAGUUUAUCAACAAGUGUAAAUCAAGAGAAUACAAAUACAAACGAAAUGUUGGAAUCACCAAUAGAUACAACAAAGAUAUUGGAGCAAAAUAACAGUAUGGAAUAAGAAGAUGAAAAUAUACAAACUGAAAUUGAAUCCACUCAACCAUUGACGUUAAGUAAUUCCAAAACAAUUCCAGAAUAUGAAAAAAGAUUAGAAAAAUUAGAAAAACGUUUAUUUCAAAGUGAAAAAAGCAAAAAAGAAAUGAAACAAUUGUGGGACAUGAAAAUUAAGUUGGAGAGACUACAGCAGGAAGUAUUAUCAAUGAAUCCGCUUUGUUAUUAUAGAGUCAAUACUCCAUGAAAACAGGAACGUUGUGUCCAUGUGAAAUCCAUGUGAUUUUGUGGAUUCUACGUGAAUAAUAUAAUAGAUAUGAAGGGGAGAGACUAUAAAACACUUUCUUUAUUACAGGAAAUAGAAUGGAGUAACUUACAGGAAAACAUUUCUGACAGCUACAAAUAUCGUCGGAGAAGGUUUAAGAUACGUUUUUCUUCGAUAAAGGCGAAAACGCAAGCAAACCAGGC